rnacentral:rRNA from 1 species
GGGUGAGUAACACGUGGAUAACCUACCUAUAAGACUGGGAUAACUUCGGGAAACCGGAGCUAAUACCGGAUAAUAUAUUGAACCGCAUGGUUCAAUAGUGAAAGACGGUUUUGCUGUCACUUAUAGAUGGAUCCGCGCCGCAUUAGCUAGUUGGUAAUGUAACGGCUUACCAAGGCAACGAUGCGUAGCCGACCUGAGAGGGUGAUCGGCCACACUGGAACUGAGACACGGUCCAU